GUCAGGAUUGCCGAGCGGUGUAAGACGCCAGACUCAAGGAUAAAAACCUCACUUCUCCAAGAGAAGCAUCGGAAUUCUUGUCUUCAAUGCAGGCGUGGGUUCAAAUCCCACUCCUGACA
rnacentral:tRNA from 1 species